ACAGCCUCUCAUCAUCCCGACCCGGUGAGAUGGUGAAAGCAGUGAGCGUUUGGGAGUCUCUAGGAGUGUGAUCUUGUUCCUAUCGUGGAGGUGUGGUGGGACAGCUUGCAUGACUGGAAUGCGGUUGUGGAUGGCUGCGUUCCUUGUAGGAGAGACAGACAGCUGAGGUGGUGAAGUUUCUCUUCUGGUGGGAGAACUGGAACGUGCCGAGCCUCACCUCCCUCCACAGCAAGGUGACGGGACAGCUGUAAGUGACCUGUUGAGCAAAAAUUUCUAAGUAGUCACGGUGGGUUUGGUGAGGGGAAGUGAUGCUGGACCAAGGCUGUAGCCUUCUGCGUUGUGACUAGUUAGAUGAGAGAAGGGCAGUGGGUGGUAUGGGGGGAAUAUCUUACUGUCAGUAAUUAUCUGAAGUGCAGGCGUCUUGCUGAUGAUGUGCUUGUUUGUGCAUUGAUGGGAGGUGUGAGGUGGAAACGUUCAGAGACUGGAAUGUCAGUUCUUGUGUUGUGAGUGAUGGAAUAGGCUGUGGAGUUGCUUUCUCUGGGGGUCUGUGGGUUGUGUCUGGAUAUGUUGUUGCAGGGUGAGUGCUGCAAUGGAGCAUUUAGCAGUGAGGAUCUGCCUGAGCGUGGGAGUGGUUUCAUUGGAGGUGAGAUGAAGGAGGUGAUGGUGUGUGGCAGGUCUGCUCCUGGAAGAAUGGAAUUGACAGUGUGAGGGGAGGAGUGCAGCCUACAGGACUCUGGCAACCAGGCAGCCUGUGAGCCUGAGACUUGGGUUCCUCCAUCUCAAGGUGAAACUGUACUGCAGUAUGUGGAUGCCACGGAAACAAAAGAGGACUGUUUGGAGUGGGUUUGCUGAAUUUCUUGGUUUAAAUGAUUACCAAGUUUCUCAGUGGAAAUCAAAAGAAGAGAGAGCAAUUUGCUGAAUGCCUGGAAAACCAACAUGGAUAUACCUCUGUUCCUGGGGGGGCCUUGGUAUGUUGUUUCUUUAGGUUGUGGUGUGGCUGGCAUCCUGAGGGGAAAGUCCUCAUCCUAGGCUUGUGGGUGUGCAGAGUCCAUGGAAGAAGCAGAGGAGAGCUCCAGGUAGGCAUGUGUCUGGUGUAGCCCUUUGACCUGGGAUCCUCUUAGUGGGUGUAGAGAUUGGUUAGUGUAUGGGAACUGCUCAAUCAUAGCCUGAAGUUCUGAUUGACUGACUGCCUGAGGUGAGCAAUGUAUGUGCCCUGCUGGAAGGGGUGGAGUUUGGCUCCACCUCUCUGAUUUCCUGUUUAAGAGCUGAUGAGUGGGGAAGGGUCUCUUGGAGUCUUCUCAGUGAGCCUGGAAUGAGGGUAAGUUUUCUGUAUGUUUCUUAAUUGCAGCUUGUUAGCAUGGGGGGAUGUAUGUAGUUUGUGUGGUUGCUUGGCUUGGAGGAUACCAAAGGGGGAGAGCACAGCUUC